rnacentral:rRNA from 1 species
UACGUAGGGUGCAAGCGUUGUCCGGAAUUAUGGUGCGUAAAGAGUAUGUAGGCGGACAUUUAAGUAGAAAGUGAAAGGUUGGAGCUUAACUCCAACAUUGCUUCCUAUACUGGGUGUCUUGAGUGCCGGAGAGGAAAGCGGAACGACACGUGUAGCGGUGAAAUGCGUUGAUAUGUGUCGGAACACCAAUGGCGAAGGCAGCUUCUGGACGGAGCCGCAAGGCUUAAAACUGACGCUGAGAUACGAAAGCGUGGGGAGCGAACAGG